AUGACAGAACCUGCCCACGGACGAUGGGUUGGGCUGGAUUUCCUCUCUCUCCCCCGCUUUCCCCUGUCUCACUCCGACCCAUACUCCCCGCUCUCCCCUCUCUCCUGCUUUCCCCUCUCUCAACUCCGGCACGCCGCCUGCCCACGAUCCCAUCUCACAAGUAGGAAUGAUGGGCCGGCUCUCCCCUGUGUACGCCACGCCCUACCUCGCAGCCCCGACGGCGCUCCCCUCACCGCUCCCUCCUUCCCCGCCACGCCUCACUCCCAUGCCGGCAUCCGCCUUUCCUUCCGCCACACACUACUGAUCCUGCCGCGGCGGCCACCUCCUUCCCUCCUCUCCCCUUCAACCUCAUUCUCCAUACUCGCGGUGCUUGCCAUGGCUACUUCCAGGGAGCAGCGCCCAGCGGUGUCGGGGUUGGGGAUCUCGUCGGGUUCAGAGGAGUCCGGUCGCCUCGAUCCGAAGGCCAUGUCAUCGGGCGCGUCAGGCGGAGUUGCUGCAACGUCAGGCAGUGUCCAUGCUGUAGCCAAUCUAUCCAAGAAGGCCACAUGGAAGCUUCCUUUCCAAGUGCUCAGCCAUGGCCUCACUGCUGUGCAUCCCAAAUUCGUGUCGGCAGCAGUGACAGUCCACCUCCUCCCACCAGAUUGCACAAAGGUGUGCUCUUUGCUGCUGGUUAUUGAUUUGCUGCCAAGGACAGACGGCGAGGCUAUCUGUCGACUUUAA
rnacentral:rRNA from 1 species